AGAGUUUGAUCCUGGCUCAGGAUGAACGCUAGCCGCAGGCCUAAUACAUGCAAGUCGAGGGGGCAGCCACGUUUUCGCGGGACUGUGGGCGACCGGCGCACGCGGUGCGUAACGCGUAUGCAAUUUGCCCAUUAUGGGGAUAGCCCGGGAAACCCGGAUUAAUACCCCAUACUACCAUUUGAUGGCAUCUGAAGAUGGUUAAAGAUUUAUUUGUAAUGGAUGAGCAUGCGUCUGAUUAGUUAGUUGGUGAGGUAACGCGCUCACCUAGACGAAUGCAUCAGUAGGGGGUCUGCAGAGGAUGAUCCCCACACUGGAACUGAGACACGGUCCAGACUCCUACGGGAGGCAGCAGUAGAAUAUUGCGGUCAAUGCGCAGAGCCUGAAGUCAGCCAUGCGCGUGCUCAGGAUGACGGCCUUCUGGGUUGUAAACUGCUUUUUCUACAGGAAGAAAGCGUCUUGCGCGAGACACAUUGACGGUCACUGUAGGAAUAAGCAACGGCUAACUCCGUGCCAGCCAGCCGCGUAAUACCGGAGGGUGCAAGCUUGUCCGGAUUUAUUGGGUUUAAAGGGUGCGUAGGGCGGGUCUUUAAGUCAGUGGUGAAAGCCCAUAGCUUCAACUAUGGAAUGCCCAUUUAUACUGGGACCUUAGAAUUCAGUUGAGGUAGGCCGGAAUUGAUGUGCGUCGUGAAAUUGCAUAGAUACCAUCAAGAACACCGAUUGCGUAGGCAGCUUACUGGACUUGAAUUGACGCCUGAGGCACGAAAGCGUGGGGAGCGACAGGAUUAUAUACCCUGGUAGUCCACGCCCCGUAAACGAUGAUCACUCGCUGUUGGCGAUAUUACUGUCAGUGGCAAGCGAAAGCAUUAAGUGAUCCACCUGGGGAGUACGCUCGCGAAGAGUGAAACUCAAAGGAAUUGACGGGGAGUCCGCACAAAGCGGUGGAGCAUGUGGUUUAUUCGAUGAAUACGCGAGGAACCUUACCUGGGCUAGAAUGCGAGUGCUAUUUGCAGAGAUGCGAAGUUCUUUCGGACACGAAGCAAGUGCUGCAUGGCUGUCGGUCAGCUCGUGCCGUGAGGUGUUGGGUAAGUCCCGCAACAGCCAACCCCUAUUGUUAGUUGCAGCACAUUAUGGUGGCGGACUCUAACCAGACUGCCUACGCAAGUAGAGAGGAAGGAGGGGAUGACGUUCAAGUCAUCAUGGCCUUACGCCCAGGGCUACACACGUGCUACAAUGGAGAUACCGAGGGUAGCUACACGGCUAACGUGAUGCCCAAUUCUCCAAAAAGUGCUCUCCUCAGUUCGGAUUGGGUCUGCAACUCGACCCCAUUGAAGCUGGGAUCCCGCUAGUAAUCGCGCAUCAGCAAUGGCGCGGUGAAUACGUUCCCGGACCUUGUACACAGCGCCCGUCAAGCCAAUGGAGUUGGGUAUGCCUGAAGAUGGUUGCGUGAGGCGCUGUUUAGGGCAGAAUCAGCCGCUGCGGCUAAGUCGCUAACAAGGUAGCCGUACCGGACCAAGU
rnacentral:rRNA from 1 species